rnacentral:rRNA from 1 species
GACGAACGCUGGCGGCGUGCUUAACACAUGCAAGUCGAACGAUGAACCACUUCGGUGGGGAUUAGUGGCGAACGGGUGAGUAACACGUGGGCAAUCUGCCCUUCACUCUGGGACAAGCCCUAGAAACGGGGUCUAAUACCGGAUACAACACUCUCGGGCAUCCGAUGAGUGUGGAAAGCUCCGGCGGUGAAGGAUGAGCC